rnacentral:rRNA from 1 species
UACGGAGGGUGCAAGCGUUAAUCGGAAUUACUGGGCGUAAAGCGUGCGCAGGCGGUUUGUUAAGUCCGUUGUGAAAGCCCCGAGCUCAACUUGGGAAUUGCAGUGGAUACUGGCAGGCUGGAGUACGGUAGAGGAAGGUGGAAUUCCCGGUGUAGCAGUGAAAUGCGCAGAUAUCAGGAAGAACACCAAUGGCGAAGGCAGCUCUCUGGGACGGUACUGACGCUGAGACGCGAAAGCGUGGGGAGCGAACAGG